rnacentral:rRNA from 1 species
AUUGAACGCUGGCGGCAGGCCUAACACAUGCAAGUCGAGCGGCAGCGGGAAAGUAGCUUGCUACUUUUGCCGGCGAGCGGCGGACGGGUGAGUAAUGCCUGGGAAAUUGCCCAGUCGAGGGGGAUAACAGUUGGAAACGACUGCUAAUACCGCAUACGCCCUACGGGGGAAAGCAGGGGACCUUCGGGCCUUGCGCGAUUGGAUAUGCCCGGGUGGGAUUAGCUAGUUGGUGAGGUAAUGGCUCACCAAGGCGACGAUCCCUAGCUGGUCUGAGAGGAUGAUCAGCCACACUGGAACUGAGACACGGUCCAGACUCCUACGGGAGGCAGCAGUGGGGAAUAUUGCACAAUGGGGGAAACCCUGAUGCAGCCAUGCCGCGUGUGUGAAGAAGGCCUUCGGGUUGUAAAGCACUUUCAGCGAGGAGGAAAGGUUGAUGCCUAAUACGUAUCAACUGUGACGUUACUCGCAGAAGAAGCACCGGCUAACUACGUGCCAGCCGCCGCAGUAAAAC